AACGAACGCUGGCGGCAUGCCUAACACAUGCAAGUCGAACGAGACCUUCGGGUCUAGUGGCGCACGGGUGCGUAACGCGGGGGAACCUGCCCUUAGGUUCGGAAUAACUCCCCGAAAGGGGUGCUAAUACCGGAUAAUGUCUUCGGACCAAAGAUUUAUCGCCUUUGGAUGGGCCCGCGUUGGAUUAGCUAGUUGGUAGGGUAAAAGCCUACCAAGGCGACGAUGCAUAGCUGGUCUGAGAGGAUGAUCAGCCACACUGGGACUGAGACACGGCCCAGACUCCUACGGGAGGCAGCAGUGGGGAAUAUUGGACAAUGGGCGAAAGCCUGAUCCAGCAAUGCCGCGUGAGUGAUGAAGGCCUUAGGGUUGUAAAGCUCUUUUACCCGGGAUGAUAAUGACAGUACCGGGAGAAUAAGCUCCGGCUAACUCCGUG
rnacentral:rRNA from 1 species